CAGCUAAAAUUCGGCUCUCCACUCAGUGAUGGCAAAAGUCACCAAUGGGUAAACUGUUGCUGAAAUUCACAAAGGAAUCGUUUUGAAAUUUUGAACUCAAAGGUCGGUAAAGAAUCAAUCUCUAACAUAAAAAUGUGUUUGGUAUGUGUGUGGGGGUGUGUAAGUGUAUGGUGCGUUUGUGUGGUAUUUGUGUGUGGUGUGUGUGUGGUGUGCAGGGUAUAUAUGUAUGUGAUGUGUGUGGUGUGUGUGUGGUUGGGUUGUGUGUUUGGUGUUUGGUAUGUGUAUGGUAUCUGUGGGUGGUGUGUGUGUGCAUGUGGUUGUGUUGUGUGGUAUCUGUGCGUGUGAUGCAUGCGGUGUAUGUGGGGGACUGUGUGUGGUGUGUGCUCUGUAUGUGUGUGUGUGGUGUCUGGGGGAUGCGUGUGGGGGUGUAGUGUGGGAUGGGGUGUGUGUUUGUGGUUGUGUUGUGUGGUUGGUGCAUGUGGUAUAUGUUUGUGUGAUGUGUGUGGUGUUUGUAGUGCCUGUGGUAUGUGUGAUGAGUGUGGUGUAUGUGUGGUUGUGGUGUGUGUGCUCUGUGUGUGCGUGUGGUGUGUGCAGUAUGUGGGAUGUGGUGUGUGUAUGUGUUGUGUGUAGUAUGUGUGAUGUGUGUGAUGUGUGUGGCGUAUGUGAGGUUGUGUUGUGUGUGGCGUGUAUGGUGUAUGUGUGUGUGGUGUGUGGUGUAUAUAUGGUGUGUGGCUUGUAUAUGGUAUAUGCGUAUGUGGUAUGUAUGUGUGUGGAGAGGUGUGUGUGUGUGUGGUGUUUGUGUGGUGUGUGUGGUAGUAUGUGUGUGUGAUGUGUGUGGUGUGUGUGUGUGUGUGUGUGUGUGUGUUAAUCACUUACUAUCUUCAUUUUCUCUGGACAACUUUGGGGAACAAAAGAUCUGUAGCCUUUAAUGCAUUUAUUCAACAAAUCAUUUCCUGCCUACCACGUGGCUCCACACUAUUCCCAGGGGCUGGUGCUCCUCAUAGAGGUGACACCUGCUCCAGGCCUUCUAGUCCCAGGCCCUCUUCCCAGGGCACCAUGGGAAUGUGUCGAUCCUCAUGGCAAUCCUGUGAGAAGAUACACGUAUCCCCUGUUUCACCAGCGAGGAAGCCAAGGCACAGGUCAAAGAACUUGUCGGCCAGCACACAGCUGGAAAGUAGCAGUCGAGAUGUGACCAAGGUAUCCUGGUGCCAGAACCAUGCUCCUAACGCUCCGCCAGCUGACUCAGCUGCACCUGCUGGGAUCUCUGACCAGAUGAACGGGGCUCUGAGUGCUCAGCCACGGGGGUCUCAUCUGUGCUGGAGAAACGGGACCCAGAACCACAGCAGACAGAUGACCGCUGCUGGAAGGAAGCUCCCAGGCCACAAGACAAUCCCUUCGCUCAGGGCAGGGCAGCUGAGCUCACUUCCCCAAGGCCACCCAGGAGAAACCAGCAGAGCCGGGGCAGAGGUCAGCCUUCAGCUACUAUGA
rnacentral:lncRNA from 1 species